UACAGAGGGGGCAAGCGUUGUUCGGAAUUACUGGGCGUAAAGGGCGCGUAGGCGGCCUGCUAAGCCGAUCGUGAAAUCCCCGGGCUUAACCCGGGAACUGCGACCGAUACUGGUUGGCUUGAAUUCGGGAGAGGGAUGCGGAAUUCCAGGUGUAGCGGUGAAAUGCGUAGAUAUCUGGAGGAACACCGGUGGCGAAGGCGGCAUCCUGGACCGGCAUUGACGCUGAGGCGCGAAAGCCAGGGGAGCAAACGGG
rnacentral:rRNA from 1 species